rnacentral:lncRNA from 1 species
UCGGCGCGCUCCUUCACCUUCCCCGAGCUCGCCGCCGCCACGGACAGCUUCAGCCAUGCCAACCUCAUCGGCGAGGGCGGCUUCGGCCGCGUCUACAGGGGCCUCAUCGGCUCGUCGGCGGUGGCCGUCAAGCAGCUCGACCGCACGGGGUUCCAGGGCGACCACGAGUUCCUCGUGGAGGUGCUGGUGCUGAGCAGCCUCCUGACCCACCCCAACCUCGUCGGCCUCCUGGGCUACUGCGCCGACGGCAACCAACGACUCCUCGUCUACCAACUCAUGCCGCUCGGCUCCCUCGAAAAUCACCUCUUCCUCCCCCGAGUCCCAGCGGACGGCGAAGAGAAGCCACCACCGCCGGUUCUGCCGUGGCGAACCAGGAUGAGGAUCGCGCACGACGCCGCCCAGGGCCUGGAGUUCCUCCACGAGACUGCCAACCCGCCGGUGAUCUAC